rnacentral:lncRNA from 1 species
UGCAAUCUCAUAGCUAACAACCUAACUAUCCGACAUCUUUCUAUAUAAACAAUCAGAGCCUCGAGGAUUUAGAUAAGUCAAAUCAAAUCUCUCUCAGAGAAUCUAUUGCCGCUCUUUUAUUUUCUGCUUUUCUGACUUAAACAUCGGAGGGUCCUCACUAAAGUCACAAUCUUCGGUUUGGAACUUGUUUUGCAGGUCACUCCAGCACCAGUAUCCCUGUAUGAGGAUCAGGUGUCCGUCUUUCGAUCUCAACUGAUUUCAGCAGC